CAAGUCUGGUGCCAGCAGCCGCGGUAAUUCCAGCUCCAAUAGCGUAUAUUAAAGUUGUUGCAGUUAAAAAGCUCGUAGUUAAUUUUCUGUUAAUUUUUAUAUAYAAUACUACGGUAUUUAUAUAAUAUUAACAUAAUUCAUAUUACUUUUUAGUAUAUGAAACUUUACUUUGAGAAAAUUAGAGUGCUUAAAGCAGGCUAUUGCCUUGAAUACUCCAGCAUGGAAUAAUAUUAAGGAUUUUUAUUCUUCUUAUUGGUUCUAGAAUAAAAAUAAUGAUUAAUAGGGACAGUUGGGGGCAUUUGUAUUUAACAGUCAGAGGUGAAAUUCUUAGAUUUGUUAAAGACAAACUACUGCGAAAGCAUUUGCCAAGGAUGUUUUCAUUAAUCAAGAACGAAAGUUAGGGGAUCGAAGACGAUCAGAUACCGUCGUAGUCUUAACCAUAAACUAUGCCAACUAGAGAUUGGAGGUUGUUCCUUACUCCUUC
rnacentral:rRNA from 1 species